rnacentral:rRNA from 1 species
AACGAACGCUGGCGGCGCGCUUAACACAUGCAAGUCGAACGAGAAGCCGUAGCAAUACGGUUGUAAAGUGGCAGACGGGUGAGUAACGCAUGGGCAACCUACCCUCAGGUGGGGAAUAACUCCUCGAAAGGGGAGCUAAUGCCGACGAUACCCACCAGCCUCAUAAGAGGUUGUUGGAAAGCCGAACCGAGGGUUCGGCGCCUGAGGAUGGGCUCAUGUCCUAUCAGCUUGUUGGCGGGGUAAUGGCCCACCAAGGCUGCGACGGGUAGCUGGUCUGAGAGGACGACCAGCCACACUGGCACUGCGACACGGGCCAGACUCCUACGGGAGGCAGCAGUGAGGAAUCUUGCGCAAUGGGCGAAAGCCUGACGCAGCGACGCCGCGUGGGGGAUGAAGGCCUUCGGGUUGUAAACCCCUUUCAGGAGGGAAGAUGGGACGGGCAACCGUUCGGACGGUACCUUCAGAAGCAGCCACGGCUAACUCUGUGCCAGCAGCCGCAGUAACAC